AUCGCCGAGAAGGGAUCCUCCGUCCUCCCCCUGCCCCAAAGAAAAUGCAACUCGGAGGUGCUGCCGGAGCCGCCCCCGCCGACACCAGCGCGGCGUCCCCACGCGCGGCGGGUGGGGAGCGGGCCGGCAGGGCCGGGGCUCCAGCCGCUCCCCCGGCGGCAGUCCCGCCCGCGGCCCCUCCGUGCCAGCUCGGCGGACUCGGACACGGGAGGCGGCCAGAGGUUUCGGCCAGAAAUUAUGAAGUAGCUACGGGCGCUGGAAGCCCUAUUGCUGCGUCAGUCUCUCCGCUCAGGCUGAGACGAGGUUCGGCGGCAUCAUUUACUUUCUCCUGCAGGUGCUUUUUAACUUUGAUCCCCCCGCCGCCGCCUGCGCCCUCGCCCCCCACCCCUCCGUGGCAAACAGCGACAGCGUCUCUUACCGUACACCCCUUGUCCCCUGCUGUACACCGGCAACAGAGACAGGAAUAAAAAACAGAUCAUGUCCAUCUUCAAGGCAGAGCCUUCAUCGCCGGCGAAGAAAAACAGCCAAAACAGCUCAGGCAGCAUCCGGCGGGGGAGCAAGGAGCAGCCGAGAGCCUCCUGAAACGCCGCCCCAUGCGCCCCGCUCCGCGCCGGGCACCGGCGCCCCUCGGGCGGAGGAAGGGACCCCCACACAGGGGCCACCUGGGGCGGCUCCCAAGAGCUCCCCCAGCUGCACUGCACCGCCCCAACCAGCCUGAAGGGAGAAGCAGCCGAGGAGCAGACAGACCACGCACCCUCGCAGCGCCUGCAGCUCAGCCCGGCUCUCCUCGCCUCCUCCCCAGCCUGCCAGGUCCUUCGCCCGUCAAAACUUUCCCUGAUGUUGUGUGCCAGCCUCGGGUGGGUGCGUCGCCUCCGUGCUUGCCUGCUCCGCCCGCCUCGCAGAGGAUUUGCAGCUGUCCAGGAGCCCGUGUCUCUCCCCUGGACGGCUGCCGGAGCUCCUGGUGGGAACUAAGGGGCUGCAGCUGGAAGGUAGCCGGCAAUAAGGGACAGGAAGACGGACCAAGUUGAGCUACUCCCGUCAGACGCCAGCUGGAAACCGCUUGGGAGGUCUGUACCCCACCGCUGUUUCCUGAAGCGCCACAAUCUCCCGCAGAAGUUGCCGGGAACGCCGCCGCUGCCCCGGCGGCCCCGGGGCUCUGCGCUCACCGCCCCCGACGGGGCGUCCGGCCCGGCCCUGGCUCCUGCCUGCCUGCCGCCUCUGCCGCCGCGCCUGAUUUCCUACUCGCUUGGCUUUCCAGGUUUUCCCCCUACCCUCUUCACCAUUUCAUUACCCUUGGCAUAAAAAAAAAAAAAAAAAAAAAAAAAAAAAAAAAAAAAAAAAAAAAAAAAAAAGCCAAUUAAAGCGGGCGUGCCGGGGAGAGCCCUGCCUCCUGCCCAAUUCUGCGAGCUUCCCCACGCCUCGCCCCGGCCCAAUCAUGGACAGGACCGCAGGAAUGGGAGAAAGAGGGACUUGCUUCGGGCGGGAGACCGAUUGUCAGUCCGGGGUGCUCUCAUCCUCAGGACCCGCGCGGCAAGGUCGGCUUCUCCCGGCUGGGACGUGAGAUGCCAAGGGAUGGGGGACAGCGCAGGUUUCCGGGGUGUCUCCCGUGCUGGUGCUCGCAGGUGCCAGCAAAGUUUUUGGGGCCCCCAGGUAGGUUGCAGGCUGGCGGGGCUGCCCUGUGCAUGCUGCUGGGGAGCGGCGGGGCGGGGGUGCUGUGCGGGGCCCGGCCCGGCCCUGGCCAUGCUCCCACGUGAAACCCGGAGCGGGGAAGCUGUGCAUGCUCAGGGCCCGGGAGAGGCCGGGAGGAGGAGGAGGAGGAGGAUGCUGAGCGAGCCCCGAGCAUCACCAGCGGCAGCGCGGGCCACGCGGGGCCCUGCUUCACCAUCCCUGUCUCCGUCUGCUUUGCUAGGGAGAUAAAACGCUACUUCUGGGAAGCCUAGACCUGCUCGCCGCCGAGCUGGCGAGCCCACCCGUGCGUGUCCCGGGUCCAUAGCGAUGAGCCAGACCGUAAAGCGGAGCCAGCGCCGUGGAAACGCUCUCGGCGGCGCGUUCUGCUCCCGGCUCGCCUCUAACCCAGCGCUGCCUCAGCCGGGGCUCCCGGGCACGGGCUGAUGCGGGUGUCCCUUAGCGACAGCGAGUCCUCUCCGGCUUUUCCUCGGGGCUGCCCCCCCCCUGGGCCACGCGUGGGCUGGGCGCGCUGCCCCCGGGGGUCCCGGCGCUGCAUCCACGCCCGCCGCAGCUGGCCAGGGGUGCGGGACCCGGCGGGCACUGAGUUGUCAUGUGAACAGGUCACUGCCUGGAGGAAAAUGUAAUUAAAAAAAAAAAUAAUCAAAAGAUAUGGCCCAAAGAGCGGCUGGCUGCUCAGUCAUGCUCUAUAACAAACAAGCAAUUAAUAGAUAUAGCCCCUAAUUAGCAAGUAGUUAUUCCUAUUGUAAACGGUGCUCAGUCAGAAAGAGAAAAGCACAAGCAUGCCCCAGGCAGAGAGCAACGAUACAGGACAGCAUCAGCCCAGAGCCCAGCGUCCCCCCAGGGCCCGGCAUCCAUGCAGGAUGCCAUGGCAGGCAAUUUCCCACUGGACUCUAUCACUUAUCAGCGUACCACCAGUAUAAAACUGCCUUGUUUGUUUUUGUGGUGGUUUAGGAUUUUUUUUCCCUUUGUAUUUCUUUUUGCUACAACUAAGGGAAAAUUCGCCUUAUUUUGUUAUUUUCACUGUUAUUUUCACAAACUGUUAUUUUCACAAAGGCUCCGUGCCUUUUCCAUAGCUGAUGGCAUAGAGCAGGGCACCUGUGAAAGCACCUGAUGUGAGCAAAUUUAUUCUUUAAUACAAUAAACCCUUAUCUGAGAAGGAUUUAAUCCUUCCUGCAGUGGGUGGUUGCAAUGUUAGUAAAGGGUGCAUGGGUAGAAGGAGGCAGCCAGCACCAGAAGGACAGGUGGAUCCUCUCCUGGGCAUGAGGAGAAGCAGGAGCUGAUGAUAAUGAGACAAAAUAAAAUUGUCUACAUCUCCACACAGGAGGCUGAAGGCAACCCAAGGAAAACGAUAUGAAGAGAUGUUUGCAGAUCUAGGAAGCUUCGUGGUGAUAAAAUAAAACUGUGGAGACAUGAGUCUUGUUCUUUUCUAUGCAUAAUCUUGAAAUAAGGAUAUUUAUGUGGCAUUUUGUAGCCCUUCCAUUAUUUUUUUUCAGGGAUUCUCAUUAAACGAUGGAAUAGUUCUCGGUGUUUGAAUGAGUAUGAAUUACGUAUCUGACUAAUGAGUCAAAAAAAUCCAAAAAAUGUA